UCGUCCUCAGCCUGUGAAUACAACAGGCAGGUGUCAAGCUUUAACAAUGGGGAGCGCAGGGUAAGGAAGCCGCCCGCACAAGCCAUCUCUCCUUACCAGGUGAGCCGAGAACUUCAUGUGCUUAUCCGUGUCGCUCUCUCCCGGCACCAGGAACUGAACCUGGUAGGGAAGCGUCGCUGAGAGCGUCUUGCCCUUAAAGUGGGUGACGUCCUUUGUCACGGUGCCCUCCAUUCCCUUCAGGUCCAUGCCUUCGUGGUGCUUCGGCGCAUGGAAGACCUUAACGGAAGCGAUCACCUUGACCUUCUGGCCUUCGUGAAAAACACCCGUCGAAUAGCCGUUU
rnacentral:lncRNA from 1 species